UACGAAGGGUGCAAACGUUGCUCGGAAUUAUUGGGCGUAAAGCGCGCGCAGGCGGUCCUUUAAGUCUGAUGUGAAAGCCCACGGCUCAACCGUGGAGGGUCAUUGGAAACUGGGGGACUUGAGUACAGAAGAGGAAAGCGGAAUUCCACGUGUAGCGGUGAAAUGCGUAGAGAUGUGGAGGAACACCAGUGGCGAAGGCGGCUUUCUGGUCUGUAACUGACGCUGAGGCGCGAAAGCGUGGGGAGCAAACAGG
rnacentral:rRNA from 1 species